UCUGGAGGGGAAAGGGGCAGAUUUCCAGUCGGCUCUGCAUGGCUUGGACAUUCCGAGUUGGAGAGGGAUGAUCAUAUCCUGUUCAUUUCAUUCAUUGGUUCAUUCUAAAUUCCCUGCACUGUGUGCCAGGUAUACUGAGAAGAAAUUGCAGGAACUUUUUCUUGAGAGCCUGUCAGCUUGCCCUGGGCAUUAGCUGGAGGUCUUUGACUGCCAGCUGCUUACCUGGGGAGUUUACAAGACUUGGCUUAAAGACAGCAAACCCCACCAUGCAUGGCAAGAAGCCUAGCUCUCCUGUUCAUCUUUGUAUGCCUUGAGCCUUGUACAGGGGCACUUAGUAAACAUUUGCUGAAUAAAUGAAUGAGUGAAUAC